rnacentral:rRNA from 1 species
AGAGAGAGACAUGCGCGCAUAUCAAUAAGCGGAGGAAAAGAAACUAACAAGGAUUCCCUUAGUAACGGCGAGUGAAGCGGGAAGAGCUCAAAUUUGAAAUCUUCAAGGUUUUACCUUGACGAAUUGUAGUUUAAAGAAGUGUUUUCUGCUGGAGUUUUGGUAAAAGUUCUUUGGAAUAGGACAUCAUAGAGGGUGAGAAUCCCGUAUUUGACCAUUAUUUUCAGCUUUGUGAUACACUUUCAAAGAGUCGGAUUGUUUGGGAACGCAGUCCAAAAUGGGUGGUAAAUUUCAUCUAAAGCUAAAUAUUGGCGAGAGACCGAUAGCGAACAAGUACCGUGAGGGAAAGAUGAAAAGAACUUUGAAAAGAGAGUUAAACAGUACGUGAAAUUGUCAAAAGGGAAGCGUUUGACACCAGUGUUGUUUUCUCGAAAAUCAAUUAAAAAUGGCUCGAUUUUGUAUUGCUUGAGACCUUAAAAGCUCACUGUACAUUUUUCGUGUCUUUUUUAAUGCACUUUUCGUUUAACAAGUCAACAUCAGUUUCUUUUGUUGUAAAAGGGUCAUUGGAAGGUGGCUUUCUUUUCGGAGAAAGUGUUUAUAGCCUUUGGCCUCUGCAAUCGGAGAGACUGAGGUCUGCAGCGUAGACUCUUCGGGGUUAGAUACAUUUGUGCUAAGUUAUAGCUUUUUAUAGACAACUUGUUGACUAUAAUUAGUCUUGUAGCUUACUCGCUUAUGCUAUUUUACCUACGCUUAGGAUGUUGAGUCGUAGAGCACGCAG